CUUGUAAAAUAUCCAUCUUCAUCAUUCUCUAUCUCCUCCCUGAUCUUGAAUCCUUUGUGGCUUCUUCCCAUGAAUCCCAUCUCUGAUCUCCAAGUGCUCAACCUGAUGUGAUUAUUAGAAGAGUUUGAAACUCUCAGUUGACUGCACGGAAACCUCUGGAUUGUCUGUUGAAACUUGUUGGUCAUUAAGCAACAGGAUAAUGGACUGAAGUUGUGACAAUUAAUUUAUUAAAGCCAUAAAUUUUGUAUUGUUUUGCUUCA